GACGAAGGAUGCAAGCGUUAUCCGGAUCCAUUGGGUUUAAAGGGUGCGUAGGUGGCCUUAUAAGUCAGGCGUGAAAGCCCUGGGCUCAACCCGGGAAUUGCGCUUGAGACUGGUGUGCUUGAGUACGGGAGAGGAUAGUGGAAUUCCCAGUGUAGAGGUGAAAUUCGUAGAUAUUGGGAAGAACACCGGUGGCGAAGGCGGCUAUCUGGACCGUAACUGACGCUGAGGCGCGAAAGCGUGGGGAGCAAACAGG
rnacentral:rRNA from 1 species